rnacentral:rRNA from 1 species
UCGGGAAUUUUGGGCAAUGGGCGAAAGCCUGACCCAGCAACGCCGCGUGAAGGAUGAAGUAUUUCGGUAUGUAAACUUCGUAAGAAUAGGAAGAAUAAAUGACGGUACUAUUUGUAAGGUCCGGCUAACUACGUGCCAGCAGCCGCGGUAAUACGUAGGGACCAAGCGUUGUUCGGAUUUACUGGGCGUAAAGGGCGCGUAGGCGGUUUGUCAAGUCAGUUGUGAAAUCUCCGAGCUUAACUCGGAACGGUCAACUGAUACUGUCAAACUAGAGUACAGAAGGGGCAAUCGGAAUUCUUGGUGUAGCGGUGAAAUGCGUAGAUAUCAAGAGGAACACCUGAGGUGAAGACGGGUUGCUGGGCUGACACUGACGCUGAGGCGCGAAAGCCAGGGGAGCAAACGGGAUUAGAUACCCCAGUAGUCCCUGAGCGGGCUGGCAAGGCGCAU